UACGUAGGUGGCAAGCGUUGUCCGGAUUUAUUGGGUUUAAAGGGUGCGUAGGCGGCUUUGUAAGUCAGUGGUGAAAUAUGGCAGCUUAACUGUCAGGGUGCCAUUGAUACUGCAGAGCUUGAGUACAGAUGAGGUAGGCGGAAUUGACGGUGUAGCGGUGAAAUGCGUAGAUAUCAGGAGGAACACCGGUGGCGAAGGCGGCUCUCUGGUCCACAACUGACGCUGAGGUGCGAAAGCUAGGGGAGCAAACAGG
rnacentral:rRNA from 1 species